CCUACGGGAGGCAGCAGUGAGGAAUAUUGGUCAAUGGCCGGAAGUCUGAACCAGCCAAGCCGCGUGAGGGAUGAAGGCGCAGAGCGUCGCAGACCUCUUUUGCCGGGGGACAAAAGGCCGGACUCGUACGCUCCUGAAGGUACCCGGAGAAAAAGCAUCGGCUAACUCCGUGCCAGCAGCCGCGGUAAUACGGAGGGUGCGAGCGUUAUCCGGAUUCAUGGGGUUUAAAGGGUGCGCAGGCGGGCCUUUAAGCCGGCGGUGAAAUCGAGGGGCUCAACCCCGCCGAGCCGUUGAAACUGGGGGCCUUGAGUGCAGGGGAGGCAUGCGGAAUGCGGGGUGUAGCGGUGAAAUGCAUAGAUAUCGCGAAGAACCCCGAUUGCGAAGGCAGCGGGCCGUGCCGCAACUGACGCUGAGGCACGAAAGCGCGGGGAUCGAACAGGAUUAGAUACCCUAGUAGUC
rnacentral:rRNA from 1 species